CACUGUGUACGAGGCCACAAACUUGAAUACACAUCCCCCGAUAGGCAAAUCGGGAUUGAUAGUAUUCUUUUGGACAUCGUCUUGACAGAAUGUCUGCUCUAGUUGUUCCACCUUCCAUUUUUUAGCGUCAUCAUCGAUGAAAUCAGCCACUCGACGAUUUUCGAUCUCCCAAUUGAGAAUCGUGGAUGGUUUACAAUGAUAAGUGCAUUACACAUUCCUGAAUCAAUUAAACACUUAUCCCUUCUAGGUCUCAAACUGAAUAACUAAACAUGCAAAUUAUUGAUAAGAUAAUUCACAAGUAACAAGCAUCAGGAAUUGUAAAUCAUAAAUUGGAAGACAAUAUGACAUUAAUAAAUCAAUCACAUAAAUUCUAUCAACUAUCAAAUACUAGAAUCGAAAAAAGAACUAGCCAUACAUAAUUAAAUAACAUGUACAAGACCGAGAUUUUCAAGAAGUCUCUUUCCAACGGCUCUAUUCGAAACUCCUAUAUAUAUUAUAAGAUCGUAACCUAUGAAAAAACCCAGAAUUGUUGCGCAAUUGAAUUCUCAAGCUCUCAAGCUAACCCUUAAGCAAACAACAAUAUUCUAAAGAAGAAUUAGAAUAGAAUCAUAAAAUUCAAAGGCCAUACUUGUGAAUCCAUAUUAAGUUUCUAGCUAGACAUUUCUCAUUGUAAUAUCAUCAAACAUAGAUCUUGAACACACUUAUAUACCUUAUGUUCUUCAUUGUAACAAUGCGUUCUCAUAUAUAGUUGGAACCUACCUUCAAAAUCCCGUCACCCCUUGUAAAAUUUAGGUGUUAGUGUUAGAUGGAAAUCAGUAAAGUAAGUUACAAGUUCGUAGUCUGAAAUCUAAAGAUAGUCAGAUGCAACUGAGGAAAUUGCUUUAACGGUCACGACCGCAUAACUAGUGGUUUAGUUUAACGUAACUAACUGAUCAACUAACUUGCAGCUAUAAAUAAAAAAUCAUAACGUUGAUUGGACCAUGUCGUGGAUGUAGGAGCAGUUUACUCUGAACCACAUAAAUUCUUUAGGUACUUUACUCUAUGUUUCAUUUACUGUUAUAUUUCACUGUCAUAA
rnacentral:lncRNA from 1 species